UCUUACAGAUGAACAAAGGAAGUAGUUUCUUGAGAUGGAAUGUAGUUCUGGUGAAGAUGUUAUGAA
rnacentral:pre_miRNA from 1 species